UACGUAGGGUGCAGGCGUAAUCGGAAUUACUGGGCGUAAAGCGUGCGCAGGCGGUUUGCUAAGACAGGUGUGAAAUCCCCGGGCUUAACCUGGGAACUGCGCUUGUAACUGGCAAGCUAGAGUGUGGCAGAGGGGGGGUGGAAUUCCACGUGUAGCAGUGAAAUGCGUAGAGAUGUGGAGGAACACCGAUGGCGAAGGCAGCCCCCUGGGCUAACACCUGACGCUCAUGCCACGAA
rnacentral:rRNA from 1 species